AGAGUUUGAUCAUGGCUCAGAUUGAACGCUGGCGGCAGGCCUAACACAUGCAAGUCGAGCGGUAGAGAGGUGCUUGCACCUCUUGAGAGCGGCGGACGGGUGAGUAAUACCUAGGAAUCUGCCUGAUAGUGGGGGAUAACGUUCGGAAACGGACGCUAAUACCGCAUACGUCCUACGGGAGAAAGCAGGGGACCUUCGGGCCUUGCGCUAUCAGAUGAGCCUAGGUCGGAUUAGCUAGUUGGUGAGGUAAUGGCUCACCAAGGCUACGAUCCGUAACUGGUCUGAGAGGAUGAUCAGUCACACUGGAACUGAGACACGGUCCAGACUCCUACGGGAGGCAGCAGUGGGGAAUAUUGGACAAUGGGCGAAAGCCUGAUCCAGCCAUGCCGCGUGUGUGAAGAAGGUCUUCGGAUUGUAAAGCACUUUAAGUUGGGAGGAAGGGCAUUAACCUAAUACGUUAGUGUUUUGACGUUACCGACAGAAUAAGCACCGGCUAACUCUGUGCCAGCAGCCGCGGUAAUACAGAGGGUGCAAGCGUUAAUCGGAAUUACUGGGCGUAAAGCGCGCGUAGGUGGUUUGUUAAGUUGAAUGUGAAAUCCCCGGGCUCAACCUGGGAACUGCAUCCAAAACUGGCAAGCUAGAGUAUGGUAGAGGGUAGUGGAAUUUCCUGUGUAGCGGUGAAAUGCGUAGAUAUAGGAAGGAACACCAGUGGCGAAGGCGACUACCUGGACUGAUACUGACACUGAGGUGCGAAAGCGUGGGGAGCAAACAGGAUUAGAUACCCUGGUAGUCCACGCCGUAAACG
rnacentral:rRNA from 1 species